GUACUUGCUUCAGCAGCACAUACACUAUAGUCGGGAGGAUACAGAGAAGAUUAGCCCCUGGGUAAGGAUGACAUGCAAAUUCGUGAAACAUUCCAUAUUUUU